UCUAAAUAAAAAAAAUAUAUAAUGAUUACAUAAAUGAAGAUUUGACAUCUGGCGAGUUGCAAUACUACUUUAAAUCUGGGUUUACACGUAUGGAAUAAUCUAUAAAUAAGAGUGUGUAGAAGAAUAUCAUACUUAAUUAUUGUAAAAUUUAUAGUAAAUUUACAUGUAUAAUACAAUUCCCAUUAUUAAAUAGUUGCAAU